AUACGGAGGGUGCAAGCGUUACUCGGAAUCACUGGGCGUAAAGCGCGCGCAGGCGGCUUGAUAAGUUGGAUGUGAAAGCCUACGGCUCAACCGUAGAAUUGCAUCCAAAACUGUCAAGCUAGAGUCUGGGAGGGGAAGAUGGAAUUAGUUGUGUAGGGGUAAAAUCCGUAGAGAUAACUAGGAAUACCAAAAGCGAAGGCGAUCUUCUGGAACAUUACUGACGCUGAGGCGCGAAAGCGUGGGGAGCAAACAGGAUUAGAAACCCCAGUAGUCC
rnacentral:rRNA from 1 species